rnacentral:rRNA from 1 species
AUGUCGCCGCUCCCAGACAACCUCCGCCGCGCCCCCAACGCUGCCUCCCGACACUUUCUCUCCGGGCAGCACCGCGGCCAGCUCCCCCGCCAUCGUCUACUUGCGCGCUUCCUCAAGCAGCGCCGACUCAUCCAGGAGCUCCUCCCGUCAGCAGCACCUCCUCCUCUAGGAGCCUCCUCUACGAACCAGUCCUCCACCAAAUUGCGUGCAUCUUCUUUGUCCUCUCCACCAAGCAGUGUCGACUACGCCAUCUCCCCCCAGGUUCAUCUUUACUUGAAAUCUAAUUUGCAUGUUGGUUGGUGUUCUUCAAGAAUCAGGGUACUAAUUUGUGAUAUGAUUGGUGAAAGAGGUUGUGGAUGUCACUUCCUGUUUCUUGAACGGUGUCCCUAUUUUGUCCUAUGUACAGACAAAUUUGAUGAUUCUUCACUUUCUGGAAAGUAA